AUGAGAUGCCAGCCGGCCCCUGAGCUGCGCGAUUCAUCCCUGUUCGAUUCAAUCUACGCCGGCAACAUGGCCAAGCCCAAAGCAAAGCGGCUCAAAUCGUUCCCCAACGACGCCGCAGCGGCCGACGGCGUGGCCGCGAGCGCCAUCGCUUCCUCGUACAACGACCACAUACGCCCGCUCCUGGACGCCGUGGACCGGCUGCGCCAUCUCAAUGUCUCGCAGGAGGGCAUCCAGCUGCCCACCAUCGUCGUCGUCGGCGACCAGUCCAGCGGCAGGUCCAGCGUGCUCGAGUCGCUGGCCGGCAUCAGCCUCCCGCGCGGCCAGGGCAUCUGCACCCGCGCGCCGCUCGUCAUGCGCCUCAAGGACGACCCUUCCGGCGGCGACGCCCCCGUGCUGCAGCUCGAGUACGGCGCCGGCCGCGUCGUCAGCACCUCUGAGGCCGAGGUCGCCGACGCCAUCGACGCGGCCACCGCCGAGAUCGCCGGCUCUGGCAAGGGCAUCUCCGACAGGCCCAUCACCCUCGUCGUGCGGAAGCGCGGCCUCCCGGACCUCACCCUCGUCGACCUCCCCGGCAUCACGCGCGUGCCCGUAAAGGGCCAGCCCGACGACAUCUACGAGCAGGUCGCCGGGAUCAUCAAGGAGUACAUCGCGCCCAAGGAGACCAUCAUCCUCAACGUGCUCUCCGCCACGGUCGACUUCCCGACCUGCGAGUCCAUCCGGAUGUCGCAGCAGGUGGACCGUCACGGCGACCGCACGCUCGCCGUCGUCACCAAGUCCGACAAGGCCCCCGAGGGGCUGCUAGACAAGGUCACCAUGGACGACGUCAACAUCGGCCUCGGCUACGUCUGCGUCCGCAACCGCGUCGGCGACGAGACGCACGACCAGGCGCGCGGCGAGGAGGAGCGGCUGUUCGACCAUCACCCGCUCCUGUCCAGAAUCGACAAGUCCAUGGUGGGCAUCCCCGUGCUCGCGCAGCGGCUGAUGCAGAUCCAGGCCACCAUCAUCGCCAAGUGCCUCCCCGACAUCGUCAAGCAGAUCACCGACCGGCUCAGCCGCAGCACCGCCGAGCUAGAGCAGAUGCCACCGGAUCUCAACAACGUGGCCGACGCGGUGCGAGCCUUUUUCCACAUUGUCAAGCGGACGUGCUCGUCGCUGGAGAAGAUGCUCGUGAGGGGCGAGUUCGACGAGUACCCCGACGACCGCCACUUCCACGGAACCGCGCGUAUCGCCGAGAUGCUGAACGCGUACGCCAAGAAACUGCCGGCAGAGUGCCCCCAGCAGAGCAGCGACCUGUUCCUGAUGGAGGAGGUGCGCAUCCUGGAGGAGACCACGGCCAUCAAGCUCCCCGACUUCCUCCCAAGGUCGGCGUUCCUCGUCCUGCUCAAGAAGAAGGUCCAGACCGUCGUGCAGGUGCCGCACGACCUCGCCCGCGAGGUCUGGGUGCUGGAGGUGCUGCUGCAGCACUCGAACGACUUCCCGCAGGUGCAGCCGUCGUGGCGCCGCGCGGUCCAGAGCAUGAUGGACAAGGCACGAGCGCAGUCGGCGCGGCACGUCACGGAGCUGAUCGACAUGGAGCUGGUGGCCGACUACACCUAUAAUCCCGACUACAGCAAGACAUGGUCCGAGCUCAUGGAAGGGUACGGCAAGUUCAUGGAGGCCGUGAAAGACCGCACCAAACCCACGGCCGUCACCCUGAAGGGCUUCGGGAAGGUGGAGGUGGCGCACCUGAGGAACCACGACGACCUGGCCGGGCAGGCGUUCGACAUGCGGGCUCGCCUCGCCUCGUACUGGAGGAGCAUCGUGCUCCGGCUCGUCGAUGGGCUGGCGCUGCACGUACCGCGCGCCGUGAAGCGGCUCGCCGAGAACGACCUCGAGGUGGCGCUCUCCGACGAGCUCCUAGGGAACAAGAUGGCCGGAGUGGAGCGGAUGCUCGCGCCCUCGCCCGGCACCGGCAGCAAGCGCCAGCGCCUCAAGAAGAGCAUCGUAUUGCUUCAGCAGUCCAAGGAGGCCGUGGCUGACAUCAUGGACAGGAUUAGCGCGGCAGGGGAAGUGUAG
rnacentral:rRNA from 1 species